GGAUGUGACUCAGUGGUAGAGUGUUUGCCUGGUAUGCUUGAGGCCCUGAGUUCAAUCUCCAGUACCA
rnacentral:tRNA from 1 species